AGACCCGAAACCCGGUGAUCUAGCCAUGGGCAGGUUGAAGGUUGGGUAACACUAACUGGAGGACCGAACCGACUAAUGUUGAAAAAUUAGCGGAUGACCUGUGGCUGGGGGUGAAAGGCCAAUCAAACCGGGAGAUAGCUGGUUCUCCCCGAAAGCUAUUUAGGUAGCGCCUCGUGAAUUCAUCUCCGGGGGUAGAGCACUGUUUCGGCUAGGGGGCCAUCCCGGCUUACCAACCCGAUGCAAACUGCGAAUACCGGAGAAUGUUAUCACGGGAGACACACGGCGGGUGCUAACGUCCGUCGUGAAGAGGGAAACAACCCAGACCGCCAGCUAAGGUCCCAAAGUCAUGGUUAAGUGGGAAACGAUGUGGGAAGGCCCAGACAGCCAGGAUGUUGGCUUAGAAGCAGCCAUCAUUUAAAGAAAGCGUAAUAGCUCACUGGUCGAGUCGGCCUGCGCGGAAGAUGUAACGGGGCUAAACCAUGCACCGAAGCUGCGGCAGCGAACGUAUCACCCAAGACAACUUUACGGAGUUGACGAUUGACGGAGCGAAGCGACGUCAAAGCGUUCAUUAAAGUCGAGUUGGCUUAGGGAUACGUUCGUUGGGUAGGGGAGCGUUCUGUAAGCCUGUGAAGGUGUGUCGUGAGGCAUGCUGGAGGUAUCAGAAGUGCGAAUGCUGACAUAAGUAACGAUAAAGCGGGUGAAAAGCCCGCUCGCCGGAAGACCAAGGGUUCCUGUCCAACGUUAAUCGGGGCAGGGUGAGUCGACCCCUAAGGCGAGGCCGAAAGGCGUAGUCGAUGGGAAACGGGUUAAUAUUCCCGUACUUGGUGUUACUGCGAAGGGGGGACGGAGAAGGCUAUGUUGGCCGGGCGACGGUUGUCCCGGUUUAAGCGUGUAGGUGUGUGUUCCAGGUAAAUCCGGUUCACUUUAACACUGAGGCGUGACGACGAGGCACUACGGUGCUGAAGCAACAAAUGCCCUGCUUCCAGGAAAAGCCUCUAAGCAUCAGGUAACACGAAAUCGUACCCCAAA
rnacentral:rRNA from 3 species